GAUAAAGGCUGUGGGGUUCUAGGAGGGAGGCAGCGGCCCUAACUGAGGGGCACCAAGACAGAGACCAUCUUGGGCACCACAAAGGCAGGAGGAUCCUGAGGCAGCGAGGGCAUUUGGGGCUGUUCAGCCCUCCUCAGAAGGCCAUCAUGAGGAGGGAAGGCCCUGAGGGCACAGGAGAAAACUGAUCACACAUCCAAUGCCAGGCAGUGGGCCCAGUUAUGUCUGACCCCCCAGAUGGGCCUCAGGGCAGGAAUUAUUAUGCCCAUUUUAUAGCUGGGGAAACAAGACAAAGAGGUGAAGUCACGCAGCUGGUCAGAAAGUGAAAGCAGAGCAGGACAAGGACAGCCCUGUGGCAGACUCGACUCGGCAGCACUUUCUUA
rnacentral:lncRNA from 1 species